rnacentral:rRNA from 1 species
GACGAACGCUGGCGGCGUGCUUAACACAUGCAAGUCGAACGGAAAGGCCCCUUUGGGGGUACUCGAGUGGCGAACGGGUGAGUAACACGUGAGUAACCUGCCCUUGACUUCGGGAUAACUUCAGGAAACUGGGGCUAAUACCGGAUAGGAAUCCUUGCUGCAUGGUGGGGGUUGGAAAGCUUCGGCGGUUUUGGAUGGACUCGCGGCCUAUCAGCUUGUUGGUGGGGUAGUGGCUUACCAAGGCUUUGACGGGUAGCCGGCCUGAGAGGGCGACCGGCCACAUUGGGACUGAGAUACGGCCCAGACGCCGACGGGAGGCAGAAGUGGGGAAUAUUGCACAAUGGGCGGAAGCCUGAUGCAGCAACGCCGCGUGCGGGAUGACGGCCUUCGGGUUGUAAACCGCUUUCAGCAGGGGCGAAGCUUGUGGUGACGGUACCUGCAGAAGAAGCACCGGCUAACUACGUG